AAAACCUUAUCAACAAGAAGUAGAGAAUUGGAUAUCGUAUGGCUCAAGAGUUAGAGAUUCAGAGUUGAAGUUCAGGUUUUUUCCAAGUGAAGAGUAGAUUUUCCUGAAUGAUUUUUCUCCCAAGUUUUUGAAGACUUCUUUUGAGGUACCCUUAGUUCGGGCAAGGAGUGAUGGCUAGGUUGGGGAAUGGUCAUCAUUAGGAUUUUGCUUAGGAUGUUAUUUUUGGACAUUAUUAGCUUAUAAGUUUAUGUUCAUUUGGAUUAUUUGGUUUUUGGAAGCUAUUUAGAUAUUGAACUUUUAAUUUUUUUAUUUUUAUUUUAUGAUAGUUUGAAGUUGAGAUUUGGAGAUUAUGAAAAUUUUUGUUAGCACUUUAAUUGUUUGAGUUUACAAUUUAUUUGGAUAAUGGAUUUUGGU